rnacentral:rRNA from 1 species
UACGAAGGGGGCUAGCGUUGCUCGGAAUCACUGGGCGUAAAGGGUGCGUAGGCGGGUCUUUAAGUCAGGGGUGAAAUCCUGGAGCUCAACUCCAGAACUGCCUUUGAUACUGAAGAUCUUGAGUUCGGGAGAGGUGAGUCGAACUGCGAGUGUAGAGGUGAAAUUCGUAGAUAUUCGCAAGAACACCAGUGGCGAAGGCGGCUCACUGGCCCGAUACUGACGCUGAGGCACGAAAGCGUGGGGAGCAAACAGG